rnacentral:rRNA from 1 species
UCGAGAAUCAUUCACAAUGGGGGAAACCCUGAUGGUGCGACGCCGCGUGGGGGAAUGAAGGUCUUCGGAUUGUAAACCCCUGUCAUGUGGGAGCAAAUUAAAAAGAUAGUACCACAAGAGGAAGAGACGGCUAACUCUGCGCCAGCAGCCGCGGUAAUACAGAGGUCUCAAGCGUUGUUCGGAAUCACUGGGCGUAAAGCGUGCGUAGGCGGUUUCGUAAGUCGUGUGUGAAAGGCGGGGGCUCAACCCCCGGACUGCACAUGAUACUGCGAGACUAGAGUAAUGGAGGGGGAACCGGAAUUCUCGGUGUAGCAGUGAAAUGCGUAGAUAUCGAGAGGAACACUCGUGGCGAAGGCGGGUUCCUGGACAUUAACUGACGCUGAGGCACGAAGGCCAGGGGAGCGAAAGGG